UCGGUCCCUAUCUGCCGUGGGCGCUGGAGAACUGAGGGGGGCUGCUCCUAGUACGAGAGGACCGGAGUGGACGCAUCACUGGUGUUCGGGUUGUCAUGCCAAUGGCACUGCCCGGUAGCUAAAUGCGGAAGAGAUAAGUGCUGAAAGCAUCUAAGCACGAAACUUGCCCCGAGAUGAGUUCUCCCUGACUCCUUGAGAGUCCUGAAGGAACGUUGAAGACGACGACGUUGAUAGGCCGGGUGUGUAAGCGCAGCGAUGCGUUGAGCUAACCGGUACUAAUGAACCGUGAGGCUUAACCUU
rnacentral:rRNA from 19 species